CCACUCACAAAGUGGCUGGGGUAUGUUGAAUUCAUAUCACAGCCAGCUUUGAUGAGCGGGA
rnacentral:pre_miRNA from 16 species